UAUGAGGAUAGUUUAGAUUUAUUAAAAUCAUUUUUUAAUAUAAGUAUUUUAGUAGUUUGAAAUGAAAGAGGUCUGUAGGGCGAUAGUGAAAAGUACUGUGAAGGAAAGGUGAAAUAUUAUGAAAUAAUUAACUGAAAAAAAGUAAGAAUUGAAAUCUGUACCUUGUGUAUCAGGGAGAAUUAAAAUAGUCUUUUUAUAGAGAGAAAUCCCGAAAAAAGAAGAGUUAAUAUGAAAUAAAGUUUUUCGUUUUAAAGAGAUUUUUAAUUUUAUAUUAGUGAUGAAAUGUCAGUCGUUUCUUUAUAUCUGGUUACUAACGAAUUAAAUUUAAUUUAAUUGCUUUUUGGUAUAGAUAAAGCUAAGAAGCAGUAAAGAGUGGGAGGGAAGAGCUUCUUAUUCUAUGAUUCGUAAUUUGUGGUUUAUUAAUUAAAAAUUUAUAUUAAAUUAGGCUUAAAAGCAGCCAAAUUAGUAAAGCGUUCUAGCUAAUACAUGUAAUUUUUAUUAUUUAAUUGAAACCCAAAUAGAGUAGUUAGUAAUUUCAUGGGACUUGAGUGUGAAAGUUAUAAUGGUUUUAUUAGUAGAGAUAUUUGUGUAAAUAAACAUUUAAAUUAAUAUAAGAAAUAUUAAUGUUUGGAAUAUAUAAUAAAGGAACUCGGCAAAUAUUAUUUUUGCCUGUUUAUCAAAAACAUGUCUGUAUGAUUGUUAUAUAGAGUCUGGCCUGCCCACUGACAUACGUUAAAGGGCCGCGGUAUUUUGACCGUGCGAAGGUAGCAUAAUCAUUAGUCUUUUAAUUGGAGGCUUGUAUGAAUGGUUGGACAAAAAAUAAGCUGUCUCUGUUUUAAAUCUUGAAUUUAACUUUUAAGUGAAAAGGCUUAAAUGGUCUGGGGGGACGAUAAGACCCUAUAAAGCUUUACAGUUUGUUGAUUAAAUUAUAAAUUGUUAGUGUGAACUUAAUUUAUUUGAUAGCUGUUUCGUUGGGGCGACGAAAAUAUAAUAAAUAGUAACUGUUUUUCUUUUAUAAUAACAAUGAUUUUUGGUAGUAAUUGAUCCUUUAUUAAAGAUUAAAAGAUUAAGUUACUUUAGGGAUAACAGCGUAAUCUUCUUUGAGAGUCCAUAUCGACAAGAAGGGUUGCGACCUCGAUGUUGAAUUAAGGUUUCCUUGAGGUGUAGCAGUUUCAUGGGAGGGUCUGUUCGACCCUUAAAUCCUUACAUGAUUUGAGUUCAGACCGGCGUGAGCCAGGUCGGUUUCUAUCUCUCAGGUUUUAGAGAUUACUUUAGUACGAAAGGAUUGAGUAAUCAAAAUAAUUUUUUAGUAAGAGUAGUGUUAAUAG
rnacentral:rRNA from 1 species